GCUGGGCGUGGUGGCGUGCGCCUGUAAUCCCAGCUACUCAGAAGGCUGAGGCAGAAGAAUCACUUGAACCCGGGAGGCAGAGGUUGCAGUGAGCCAAGAUCGCGCCACUGCAUUCUAGCCUGGGCAACAGAGUGAGACUCCGUCUCAG
rnacentral:SRP_RNA from 2 species